GCCAACACCAGAGCAAGUGUCGCGGAAAGAAGGUGGGUGCGAGGGUAACUCGGAAUCACUGGGCGUAAAGCAGAUGUAUGCGUAUUAAUAAGUUUUAUGUGAAAUCCUAUAGCAUAACUAUAGAACUGCUUUGAAAACUGUUAAGCUAGAAAGUGGAGAAGGUAGAUGGAAUUUCUGGUGUAGGGGUAAAAUCCGUAGAGAUCAGAAGGAAUACCGAUUGCGAAGGCGAUCUACUGAAACAUUAUUGACGCUGAGAUGCGAAAGCGUGGGGAGCAAACAGGAUUAGAUACCCGGGUAGUC
rnacentral:rRNA from 1 species